UUUUUUGACAGCAGCCAUGAUUACCACUUCACAACCUACUAAUAUGUAAGGUGCAGAAGAGAAAAGUCUUGCAUGUGACAGCAGUCAGUGCCUCCAGAACAUUUGAUUAACAAAGCUAGAGGUCCCUCCUGGACAACUCCUGUCUGACUGAGCUGCCAUAGACUGCAGAGCAAACCAAAGAUGCUCUUCGCCAUCAGUGUCAGCCUGGAAAAGGGGAAAUGUUGCUGGUCACCUUUGGAAAUAAGAGCUCCGUCAAAAGGAGAAAGAAAUUAGAUAACAAGUGCAUGCAUGUGUGAGUGCUUGUGGGACUAAAUUCAUGUGAAAUACUGGACCUGAUUGCUGGGCUCAUAAAAAGCAAGGGGAGAAAAUGGGAAGAACCAGACUAAGAAACCUCUUGGGAUGAGUUAAACAUGGGAAAAUUGCUCACUGGUUACUAUCACAGACAGAACAAACUCAAACUUAACUAUCUUAAGGCUGUUUUAUUCCUUUGCUCCAAACUACCAGCUUCCCACACCAAGUGGUGCAGCAGCAGGGUGCGAGUUGCUUUAGAUGCAACAGCAACUGGAUUAAGAUCCCAGGGAGAUGCUCAGCGUUACUGCAAUGCUAAGAGAUCGUGUGUGGGCAUCAGAGAGCAUAGGAUCCAUGACAGCGUACUGUGUACAAGGAGCUAGGAGGGGAUGUAACCAGGACAGCUGGCCCAAACUGGUCAAAGAGAUAUCCAAUACCGCACGGCAUUGUGUUCAGCAAUAAAAGCUGGGACAAGGAAAGAGGAAGGGAUGAACUGUUGGAGUUGAUGGCAUUUGUCUUCACAGGUAACCCUUAGUGCUAUGGACAGUGGGAUUGAGUGCACCCUCAGCAAGUUUGUGAAUGACACCAAGCUGUGUGGUGUUGUCAACAUGCCUGAGGGACAGAAUGCCAUCCAGAGAGAUCCAGACAGGCUUGAGCGGUGGGCCCAAGUAAGCCUCAUGAGAUUCAACAAAUCCGAAUGCAAGGUCUUGCACCUGGAUUGUGGCGACAUCCACUACCGUACAAGCUGCAGCUACCAUCAAAAGUGUCAACUACUGUCCCAGCAUGCCAUCUCAGCACUUCAAUGCACACGUUUCUGAUAACAAAGACUGUCUGAUGUUCUUCAGAUCUUCUACCACUUAGCAGGUACAGUUCUCCUCUCCACGUUUUCUAUUUCUCUUUCAAAGGAGUGAUCAGUGAACAUGCAAAAAAAUGUUGCUAAGGAAUGAAAGGAGCAAGAAGACUGAAUUAACUUAUACAAGAGUUCAUGCUGAAACACCUUUGGUUUUUAUCUUUUCUUGUGGUGCUCUUCAGAGAAUCCCAAAAUCCCUGUGUGUGGGAGCUGGGAACUCCUACGUACCAUAUGGCGAUGAUAUAGAAAAGCUCAAAGCAAUUUAUGCAAUAUUAUGUAUGUAUUAUCUUGCUGUUGUUAACUCCAAGAUCCAAUAUUCUGCUAAGAUUAUAGUCCUCUAGGGACUGCUCUUUUAGUGGUCUUCUUAACAUAGGACUGCUAAGAUUUUAGUCCUCUCUACCAUUCUUCCAGAACUAUGGGAAGAUUUUUUGUGAGCUUGUUUGAAAAUUUGAAAUGUAGAGCUGAGGCUUUUCAAAUCAUGUUUGGCAGCAGAUUUAUACUUUGUUGUCAAGAUUGUUUCUAAUGUUUCCUGAUUAACAUCUGAAUGACCUUUACGUAUUGGACUCAGUUUGCAUCUGUUAGCCCUUAGAUUUCCUUUUCAGUCUUUGACAUGAGACAUUGAAUGUAUUGGUUUGUUUAUCUGAGGCUUUUAUUAUUAUUAUUAUUAUUAUAUAUUAUUACUAUUUUGGGUGGUUGGUUUUGUUUCUGUUUUUUUUUAUUAUUAUUAUUAUUAUUAUUUUUCCUGCAUUGUUUGAUUUGUUUUUGAGAAGGAAACAUAGACAUUUCUAACACCAACCUAUUUUGAUAGGAGUUUAAAUAAUCAAAUUAGUUUUAAAAGUGGAGAUCUAAGGUACAACACAUAUUAAAUGAUAUAAGUGCAGCUAAGACAGAGAUAGAGCCCCAGUAUACUAGUUGGAUGGCUGUUUUACUUACCUGUUCAUCCUAAAAAAUGAUUUCUGAUUUUAUCUAUACUUGAAAUCUCUGAACCUAUGUUUGUACUCCAAUAAGAAAAAAUUGAAUGAUUCACAACUUGAAAUGCAUCUUCUCCUAGCCAGUUUUGAUCAUGAACACUGGUGUGUUUCAGAAGGCAGCAGUACUCUGGCCUUUGUGAUCAACUGCUCAUCUAGGAACCAUACAGCUAAGCUGCUUCUGUGAUUAACUCUACAGAAACGCUUUCUUUUUUUAGUAUUUGGUCUUUUGGUAUCACAAGAAGUGAUCAAAUCUCAGUGAAAAGUGUGCCAGAACUGAUAUGUAUUCUGUAAGAACCUUGGUGACAAAUCUGGGUCACAGCCCUUGUUCUUCAUAAUGCCUAAAGGAAUGAGCAGAAAGAGUUCACAGAGGUGGACACAGAGUCCACAAUCUCAGGAAACUAUGGAAAAGACUUGUUGUGUGAAGUAUUAACUAUUCUCUAAACAAUUCUAUCACAGCAAACAUUUUCAGAAGUUUUCAAAAGCAGUGUGUGAGGUAACUGUAUACAGGGCUGAUGCUUAGGAUAGAGCAUGACUUCUUAAAAAAUCUUUUUUUGUCUAAAAUGUGAAACAGAUAUCCAGUUGAAUUUUUUUGUUAAUAAAUUACUAUUUCAAAAUAUUGGGGAGCAGGCCAGCUUACCUUACCUUCAGGUAAUUCUGAUACUGUGAGAACCAAAUAUGUUUUUAAUGUAGGGCUUUUUUUUAAAAUUUAUCUUUUAUUUUUUUUAAGUCCUAAACAGAAUAUUUUUCUUUUCUUUUGUUUCUUUCACCAGAACUAACUCUAAUUUUCAAGGUAUCAUUAUUGAAUAAAAGUAAAUACCAGUUAUUUGUAUAUCUGUUGUUAUAUAAAAUAACAGUUAUUUUUACAAGUUGGCUGUACUUGUAAAAUAGAAUGUUGUGGUCAUGAUGGUCUAAAACUAAAACAGCAGUAAUUAAGGGAGGUAAUAUCUUUUAUUUGACAUACUGCUGCAGCUUGCAAAAAUAAAUUAUCUUUCUUUUAUAUGUUAACUUUACUAGUGAAAGAAGUCAUAAUCUUCAAUCUAUGUCUUAAGGGAGAGAAUAUCCCAUAAAAAGCUAUGUCUGAUGAUACUUUCAAGGUAAUAAGAUGCUCUUAAGAAGAUAAAUCAGUUUUCUUUCUUUCAUUUGUAUUUUGAUCCAGUGUAGGCCUUGUUUCCCUCUUGUAGUAGGCAACUUGCAAAAAGACGAAAAUGUUUGUAAUAGGAAUUAAAUGUGAGGUUUCUGAAUGCAGAAAAACUGUGGUGGCAAUCUGUGCUGCUACUAUGCAGUAGAGCUCUGUAAAAUGGGAAACAAACUAAAGAAUGUGAUGCUACAGGUAAACACUGAUAAGUCUAAAUGGUAAAUAGCUUUUUGUUUAUUUGACUUUGGGGAUCUCUUUCCCAGUGUGUUUAAACGAUAAAAGUUUAUAUCAAAGGAAAAUAACUGCUAUCUAUAUGCUACAAGAGUAUUUCUAUUCCUGGGCUCUUGUACAAACGUGUAGAACUGCACCAUCUUGUCAAGAAGAUCCAUCUCUUAAACUAGCAAAUUAAAAAUCUGCGCAGCAAGGAUUUUUGGAUCAUUUGGCCUACUUUUCUGAUUUUACUGUCAGCAGGCUUUGUUUUUCCAGUCUUGUGCUGCAAAGACUAGUUAUCGGAUAAAAUCAGCUUCAUAUCCUGAAGCAUUUUCUGCAAAUACAAGAAAUCACACUUCAGGUGGUAUCUGCAGAUCUGGUCCUUUGAUUUAUUAUUCUUCCUGCGCUUUACACAGGAAAAUACUGAAAGCGUGUGGAAAUGUUCUCUGAUGCAUAUGUUUACAAUUAUAUGUGGUUUAUGAACCCUAAAAAGUGCUCCGUUUUGACUGUCAAUGUCAUAUAUGCAAUCUGUAUAUUCCUCAUGUUCGGUAAAGGGCCCAAUUUAAUAAGUUAUCAUGCAGAAAAGCAGAUGAAGUGCAGCCAAGUCUGUCCAUGUAGAUUCAGUUAAAUGCUUUUUUUGACCUCAAUUACGCAUUAAAAAAAAAAAAAAAAAGCCUGUACAGGUGACAAGAGUAGAAAUCAGCUCCCUAGAGUCCUAUUCCAGUUCUUUCCCAAGCAGACAUACCUUCUCUCCUCCUUCCUAUACGCUCUCUAGAAGUCUCGGACUCCUACAUUAAAUGAAGGGGGGAGCUCCAUGAGGCAGACAGUAUCUGUAAUGUAGCAGUAAAGACUCAGCAGUUUUUUUCAUAUGUAUGAAAUAGUUAUAUUUUUAAAAGUCCUAUAAUUCAAAUUAAGACAAAAUGUUACGGAGCUUCUCCCUCCCUCAGGCCUCUAAUAAAAUUUUUUUGAGGCUGUUCUGAGCACCUGGCAAUUAGAGGGGGGAAAAUCUUAAAUUUUUUAAUUAUUCCACUCUCUCCUGUCAGGGUGAAGAAAGGACUUCAGAAAAAUACAGUUGUUCUU
ensembl:lncRNA